rnacentral:rRNA from 1 species
UGGGGAAUAUUGGACAAUGGGCGAAAGCCUGAUCCAGCAAUUCCGCGUGUGUGAAGAAGGCCUUCGGGUUGUAAAGCACUUUAGUGGGGGAAGAAACAGCUUGGCCACACCAAGCCUUGACGGUACCCCAAGAAUAAGCACCGGCUAACUCUGUGCCAGCAGCCGCGGUAAUACAGAGGGUGCAAGAGUUAAUCGGAUUUACUGGGCGUAAAGGGUGCGUAGGUGGUUUUUUAAGUCGGAUGUGAAAGCCUGGGGCUCAACCUCAGAAUUGCAUUCGAUACUGGGAAACUAGAGUUCGGUAGAGGGCGGCGGAAUUUCCGGUGUAGCGGUGAAAUGCGUAGAUAUCGGAAGGAACAUCAAUGGCGAAGGCAGCCGCCUGGGCCUGGACUGACACUGAGGCACGAAAGCGUGGGUAGCAAACA